CCUUCGGGGAACGUUAACGGCGUCGAGCGGCGGACGGGUGAGUAAUGCCUGGGAAAUUGCCCUGAUGUGGGGGAUAACCAUUGGAAACGAUGGCUAAUACCGCAUAAUAGCUUCGGCUCAAAGAGGGGGACCUUCGGGCCUCUCGCGUCAGGAUAUGCCCAGGUGGGAUUAGCUAGUUGGUGAGGUAAGGGCUCACCAAGGCGACGAUCCCUAGCUGGUCUGAGAGGAUGAUCAGCCACACUGGAACUGAGACACGGUCCAGACUCCUACGGGAGGCAGCAGUGGGGAAUAUUGCACAAUGGGCGCAAGCCUGAUGCAGCCAUGCCGCGUGUAUGAAGAAGGCCUUCGGGUUGUAAAGUACUUUCAGCAGUGAGGAAGGCGGUGUCGUUAAUAGCGGCCUCGUUUGACGUUAGCUGCAGAAGAAGCACCGGCUAACUCCGUGCCAGCAGCCGCGGUAAUACGGAGGGUGCGAGCGUUAAUCGGAAUUACUGGGCGUAAA
rnacentral:rRNA from 1 species